AACGAACGCUGGCGGCAUGCCUAACACAUGCAAGUCGAGCGGUAAGGCCCUUUCGGGGGUACACGAGCGGCGAACGGGUGAGUAACACGUGGGUGACCUGCCCUCAGCUCUGGGAUAAGCCUGGGAAACCGGGUCUAAUACCGGAUAUGACUCCAUGACGCAUGUUGUGGGGUGGAAAGCCUUGUGCGGCUGAGGAUGGGCCCGCGGCCUAUCAGCUUGUUGGUGGGGUGANGGCCUACCAAGGCGACGACGGGUAGCCGGCCUGAGAGGGCGACCGGCCACACUGGGACUGAGACACGGCCCAGACUCCUACGGGAGGCAGCAGUGGGGAAUCUUGCGCAAUGGGCGAAAGCCUGACGCAGCGACGCCGCGUGAGGGAUGACGGCCUGGUGUAAC
rnacentral:rRNA from 1 species